rnacentral:rRNA from 1 species
AGAGUUUGAUCCUGGCUCAGAACGAACGCUGGCGGCAUGCCUAACACAUGCAAGUCGAACGAAGGCUUCGGCCUUAGUGGCGCACGGGUGCGUAACGCGUGGGAAUCUGCCCUUAGGUUCGGAAUAACAGCUGGAAACGGCUGCUAAUACCGGAUGAUAUCGCGAGAUCAAAGAUUUAUCGCCUGAGGAUGAGCCCGCGUUGGAUUAGGUAGUUGGUGGGGUAAAGGCCUACCAAGCCGACGAUCCAUAGCUGGUCUGAGAGGAUGAUCAGCCACACUGGGACUGAGACACGGCCCAGACUCCUACGGGAGGCAGCAGUGGGGAAUAUUGGACAAUGGGCGAAAGCCUGAUCCAGCAAUGCCGCGUGAGUGAUGAAGGCCCUAGGGUUGUAAAGCUCUUUUACCCGGGAAGAUAAUGACUGUACCGGGAGAAUAAGCCCCGGCUAACUCCGUGCCAGCAGCCGCGGUAAUACGGAGGGGGCUAGCGUUGUUCGGAAUUACUGGGCGUAAAGCGCACGUAGGCGGCUUUGUAAGUCAGAGGUGAAAGCCUGGAGCUCAACUCCAGAACUGCCUUUGAGACUGCAUCGCUUGAAUCCAGGAGAGGUCAGUGGAAUUCCGAGUGUAGAGGUGAAAUUCGUAGAUAUUCGGAAGAACACCAGUGGCGAAGGCGGCUGACUGGACUGGUAUUGAC